CAAAACACUAAAACAUUAGGAUCUUUGUUCCUGAAAGACUUAAAACUUCAAAAUGGAACCUUUUGAAAGUCCUGAGAAUGAUCAUUUUUCUAAAACCAAAAAAAGCAGAAGAAUUUUGAAAAAAAAUAAUAAUAAUAAUAAACGAAAAAGAGGAAGAAAACACGCACAAAUUCCAGACGCCUUCCGACUUUCUUUUUGAGCUCUUAGAAAGGUAAUCGAAUUGACUCCAAUUACGAUACAAGGAAUCAUCAUCAUACUCCUCGUUUUUGUUAUCGAGAAAGCAGAGAUUUCAGAGGGGAUUUCUAGGGUUUAGAGAGGAGCAUAAAUGAAGGCGAUGGAGACGAUUCAGGAUCUGAUCGAGGAGGCUAAGGUUCGGACGGUUUGGUGGGCUCUCUGUAUUUUUGCUGUCACUUACUUCUUAUCUCAUACAAGUUCUUCGAUGUGGAUAAAUCUACCUAUAUCUGUUCUUUUGGUUUCUGCAUCACGAAUAUUGUCAAAUGAGGUGGAGUUCAGCUGGAAAGCUCGCCGGUCGACCUGUCCACAAUCUUAUUUGUCUCAUUUGGAGAAGAAACAACUGUCUGUGAAUGAUUCACGGCUUUGUUCUGCACCUCUUCCUCAAAGAUGGAAAAGAAAAAUUGAUUCUCCAAUUGUGGAGGCUGCAAUCAAUGAUCUCAUUGAUAAAAUUUUGAAGGAUUUUGUUGUAGAUUUGUGGUAUUCAGAAAUUACACCCGACAAGGAGGCACCUGAGUUAAUGCGUGCAGUGAUCAUGGAUGCUAUUGGUGAAAUAUCAGGAAGGAUUAAGGAAAUAAACCUUGUUGACCUGCUAACAAGGGAUAUAAUUGAUUUAAUAGGGGAUCACUUGGACCUUUUUAGACGAAAUCAAGCUGCAAUAGGUGCUGAUGUAAUGGGAAUACUUUCUACUGAUGAGAGAGAUGAAAGGUUGAAGCACCAUCUAAUGGCUUCUAAGGAGCUUCAUCCUGCACUGAUAUCACCUGAGAGUUAUGCAGCGCCUAAUUGGUGGAGUUUUAGCUGUAGUGCUAAGACCUCGCGAGUCUCAAUGCCCCCUGGUUCGAACUAUUGCUCGAGAGCUUGUAACUUGCUUGAUCUUGCAGCCUGUAAUGGGUCUUGCAAGCCCUGUUUAUAUCAAUGAGAUCAUUGAAUAUGUUUUGCUUGCUAUUAAAGAUGGUAACAUAAUGGAGGUAAGUGGUGAUCAGUCUGCUGGGGGUGUACAUAACAGCGAUUCGUCCUCGAGCAAAUAUUCAUCCAUAAAUAGUCAAAAGACUAAUGUUGUUGGUUAUGAAAAGAACUUCCAAGGGACUGUCAUGACUUUGGCUAAAAUUGACGAUCAUAAAGAAACAUUGUUGGAUUGUGACCCAAACCAGCAAGAGCUUUUGCAGCCACGUCACGCAGAGUGGGCACGGAUACUAGAGGCCGCAACACAGAGAAGAACUGAAGUUCUUACACCUGAAAAUCUUGAAAACAUGUGGACAAAAGGAAGAAAUUAUAAAAAGAAAGAGACCAAAAACCUUAAAGCGGCUGUUGAGCAGUCUAUGGCAAAGGCUUCUGUGACAAAUAACAAAGAGCCUCCUAAAAAUGCAGGGAAGAAAAUUUUAACAAAUAGUGACAUAAUUUCUGCAGGAUCAGAGGAGAAAGCUAUAGUGCAUCUAACACCUCGAUUAAGUCAUGAUGCUUUACCGAGUGAUGAGAAUAAAAAUGGGAAGCAGUUUACUCUGGACCAUAAUGAGGAGUAUUCUUUUGAGAGAGAGCAUGCUGGAGAUGAAUUGGAUAGCACUAGUAAUUCCUCUGUGAAUGGAAAUAAAAGCAGACUUAAGAGAUCCAAUAGCACUUCUGCUUUGAAAGCCCAGCCUGUUGAAAAAAAGCCAUUUACAGGAGAUGGCAGAGGAUCCCUUAUUUCAGAGUUCUAUGCCCCGGAUUAUGAUAGGCCUAGUGAAUAUCAUGCCGUUAAGAAGGUCUCAGAUGUAAUACUUCGCAGUGCAGGACCUCAUGUUCCUAAUCCUAAGUUGAGGUGUCGGGUUAUGGGAGCAUAUUUUGAGAAACUUGGAUCAAACUCUUUUGCAGUUUAUUCCAUUGCAGUAACAGAUGCAGAAAACAGAACUUGGUUUGUGAAAAGAAGAUACAGGAAUUUUGAGAGACUGCAUCGCCAUCUUAAGGACAUUCCUAAUUACACAUUACACUUGCCUCCCAAAAGGAUAUUUUCAUCAAGCACAGAGGAUGCCUUUGUUCAUCAACGUUGCAUUCAGCUUGAUAAAUAUUUGCAAGAUCUUUUAUCUAUAGCUAACAUUGCCGAACAGCAUGAAGUGUGGGAUUUCCUAAGUGUUUCCUCCAAGAAUUACUCCUUUGGGAAAUCU
rnacentral:misc_RNA from 1 species